rnacentral:rRNA from 1 species
GACGAACGCUGGCGGCGUGCUUAACACAUGCAAGUCGAACGGAAAGGCCCUGCGUUUGUGGGGUGCUCGAGUGGCGAACGGGUGAGAGACACGUGAGUAACCUGCACUUGACUUUGGGAUAACUUCAGGAAACUGGGGCUCAUACCGGGUAGGAGCUCCUGCUGCAUGGUGGGGGAUGGAGAGUUUCGGCGGUGGGGGAUGGACUCGCGGCUUAUGCGCUUGUUUGUGGGGUAGUGGCGUACCAAGGGUGUGACGGGUAGCCGGCAUGAGAGGGUGACCGGCCACAUUGGGACUGAGAUAGGGCGCAGUCUCCUACGGGAGGCAGCAGGGGGGAAUAUUGCACAGUAGGCGGGCGUCAGAUGCAGAAGCCCCGCGUGCGGGAUGACGGCUUUCGGGUUAUAAACCGCUGUCGCCUGUGACAAAGCGUUAGUGACGGUAAUGGGUAAAGAAGCACCGGCUAACUACGUG